UGAACGCUAGCGGCAGGCUUAACACAUGCAAGUCGAACGAAGGCCCUAGCUUGCUAGGUGUCCUUAGUGGCGCACGGGUGAGUAACGCGUGGGAACCUGCCCAAGAGCGGGGAACAACCAUUGGAAACGAUGGCUAAUACCGCAUACGCCCUCCGGGGGAAAGGCUUCGGCCACUCAUGGAUGGUCCCGCGUCUGAUUAGCUUGUUGGUAAGGUAACGGCUUACCAAGGCGACGAUCAGUAGCUGGUCUGAGAGGAUGAUCAGCCACACUGGGACUGAGACACGGCCCAGACUCCUACGGGAGGCAGCAGUGGGGAAUAUUGGACAAUGGGGGAAACCCUGAUCCAGCAAUGCCGCGUGAGUGAAGAAGGCCUUAGGGUUGUAAAACUCUUUCAACUGUGAAGAUGAUGACGGUAGCAGUAGAAGAAGCUCCGGCUAACUCCGUGCCAGCAGCCGCGGUAAUACGGAGGGAGCUAGCGUUGUUCGGAAUUACUGGGCGUAAAGAGCACGUAGGUGGCGAAGAUAGUCAGUGGCGAAAGGCCUGGGCUCAACCCAGGAACUGCCAUUGAUACUGCUUUGCUAGAGUCCGGGAGAGGAUAGCGGAAUUUCCAGUGUAGAGGUGAAAUUCGUAGAUAUUGGAAAGAACACCAGUUGCGAAGGCGGCUAUCUGGACCGGUACUGACACUGAGGUGCGAAAGCGUGGGGAGCGAACAGGAUUAGAUACCCUGGUAGUCCACGCCGUAAACGAUGAGUGCUAGUUGUUGGGGUCUUAGACUUCAGUGACGUAGCUAACGCGUUAAGCACUCCGCCUGGGGAGUACGGCCGCAAGGUUAAAACUCAAAGGAAUUGACGGGGGCCCGCACAAGCGGUGGAGCAUGUGGUUUAAUUCGACGCAACGCGCAGAACCUUACCAGCCCUUGACAUACCAAUCGCGAUUUCCAGAGAUGGAUUUCUUCAGUUCGGCUGGAUUGGAUACAGGUGCUGCAUGGCUGUCGUCAGCUCGUGUCGUGAGAUGUUGGGUUAAGUCCCGCAACGAGCGCAACCCUCGCCCUUAGUUACCAUCAUUUAGUUGGGUACUCUAGGGGGACUGCCGGUGACAAGCCGGAGGAAGGUGGGGAUGACGUCAAGUCCUCAUGGCCCUUAUGGGCUGGGCUACACACGUGCUACAAUGGCAAUGACAGUGGGCAGCAACCUCGCGAGAGGAAGCUAAUCUCUAAAAAUUGUCUCAGUUCGGAUUGUUCUCUGCAACUCGAGAGCAUGAAGUCGGAAUCGCUAGUAAUCGCGUAUCAGCAUGACGCGGUGAAUACGUUCCCGGGCCUUGUACACACCGC
rnacentral:rRNA from 1 species